CCCCUCUUGUCCUCGAACAGUCGAGCCCCACAUCCCACGCCUCGUCUCCUCCUCUCCCUCUCUCCGCCGCCACACCCCCUUCUCCUUCUCCUUCUCCACCAGCGCCGCCUCUCCUCCUCUUCUUCAUACGGAUCCGACCGGAUCCUUCCACGCGUGUGUCCGCUUCUCCUCGUCUCCUCGAACAGAAGGGUCACAGACGGGAGGUCAACAUCUGGGGUUCAGCCCCGAUGAAUAUGGGCUUGACCACGCCGCUGUUGGAGGGAAGACGGUCCGCCGGUGCUCGUGCCUCCACAACAGGCGUCUCUCCCCAUGACCUGUGCCCAAACUGGAUCCACAACCUAGGACAUGCCCUAGCAAGGGACUUGGAGAUGGCGUUGGAUGAGGAAAAUGAGAUCCGGACGAAAUCGGAGUGUAUUGGCAGCGGCUAGAGCGAUGUGGGUUUCUAUACGUAACCUUGCCUGUUUAGAUGACCUGGUUUGUUCUUGUGGUAAGAGAACUAGCAUCAAUUAGUACAGACUUUGCUGUUUAUGCAAGAACUUGUUAAGGUAAAUAUUCCAUAUUCUAUCCAUGUUUCGGAAGUAACAUUGUGCAAUAAUUUACUGUAAUACAUAUCUUCGGAUGAAUUGGUAGUCACACACCCACGACACUUUACCUUUGAAGAUUGUAUAUAUUUGUGAGUGUACAAGUAUAAUUAGUUAUAGGGGAGAAAGAUGUUGGUCUUUUCUCGAAGACCACAAAGGUUCAUGCCUUUUGGAAUUGAUUUUGAUUUAUUGUAUUGAUCAACUUUGCCAAGUCAUUUUGUGGUAUUUAGCAUUCCCAAAUUUUUAUAUUUAGCUAAAUUUAAUCUUGACCUGAUUUGCUCUGCCCAAUACACGCAUGAUGCCUUUUCUUUUCUAUCAACUGGAUGCAGGUUUAGUUUACCUUUUAGACUUUGUGUUAGAUUAGCCUUCCUGUAUAUACGUUCUUUGAUGGAUCAGCUGCGUUCGAUUGUAGGUAAUGUAUAUACUUUCUUUGAUGGAUCAGCUGCGUUAGAUUGUAGGUACUGCUGAGCACAAAGUUGUAUUUGGAUAUGAUAUUAGACUUACCAUCAUUUUUUUUGCUAAUUUUAAUCUGAUGCAAAAGAGUUCAGUAUAUUUAAAAUUUGGUUUCAUAUAGAAGCCCAUCAUUGGAAUCAGUAUACGUCUGCUGAUAAAUCCCUUUUGUAUGAUCAUGCUUUUUAGUAAUUGAUAUUCCAAUCAAUCUGUUGAUGCGGUGUUUGUCGGAGGCGAAGGGUAGCGACGGGUUCAUUCUGAGGUCGUCUUCCUCGAGAUACAUUCAUGCGUCACUUCAGUUCACCUUACCACAAAUGCUUAGCCCGCAGAUCUGCUCUCUCAUCUGAGUAUGUAUGCCUUGUAUCUUGCAGUUCUUCCUAAGCGAGUAUUAUUGCAGAUCCCAGAAGAAGACUAUCUUCUGCUUAUUUCCACCACCAUAAUACUUUCUUCAUUGGCAUGAUUACUGCUACAACCAAACUUAGAAUCAUGCUAGCAUUGCAGGAAAAUCUUCCUCAAAAGCUCAUUUGUAGCCCUCAAUCAACUCGCUGCAAUUGAGGCCGACGACACGGGGAAGGAGCUACAGGGGAAGGGGAGGCGGCCGACGACAGGGGGAAGGAGCAGGCCGGCUCGGAUGCAUGGUGUGAGGCAGUAAUAGCGGCAGUGGAUCGAGAGAAGUGGAGAAGAGGGUUCCUCCAAGCUCCAUCCAUGAAAUGGCGCCGGUCCAAUGCUCAGGGUGGCAUGCGGCAAUGUUGGGGACCAGCGAGGAAGAUGACCGGUGUACAUCCUUUGGAAUAAAGUUGAAGACAUGGUGAGUUUUGUGGCGCGAAGCCAACAACACGCAGCGGCAAGUCGAGCACACUGGCCUGAGCCGCAAUACACCAACACCAUCAGGAGUUCGAAUUAUUCUGUACCUCAAGAGAGAGGAACAGCGGACAUUGAGGAUUGCGGUGGCUGAUUUUUUAAUUUGUGUUUGCCUCAAGGAUUCUCAUUUAUCUUAACUUCCAUUUACUCAAGACAAUUACAACAUUGCUUCAUGACGAAGUAAAAUAAAAUCUUAUGACAGAAGAAACAUGCUUGGAUAGGCGUCCUUGUCGACCUCGCAGUCUCCAACCGAUCCUUAGGUACCAUCAGCUAUGACCCUAAUGGACCCCGAAUAAAAAGGAGAAAACAUUUGACACUUAUCAUGGCCAACCAUGAAACCGUGUUUCAGAAACUGCAUCAUAUCACAUAUUUCAACCAUCGUUUCCUGGUUUGUAAUAUGUACUAGCCUUCUGAAAAAGACUGAGGCUGCACUUGUUCCUGUCAGGUUGUCAUGUUACAAAAAGGCCUAUCUACAAAUAGGUGGACAAGAUAAAACAUUAAAAAUAGACUAGAGCAUUUUCCAUCUCCAUUGAUAAGAAAUAGUGGCAUGAUUGAAGGGCGAGACUACCAGCUGGUGAAGGAGAGGAUAUGUAUUCGGCGUGUCCUGAAGAGGUAGUCCACGAACCGGCAAUGGAGGAAAUAAGGUAGAUACGGCAAUAGCAGCAAGUACGUCAAGCGCUAGGGAUGUGGAUAUGGUGUGGCAUAAAGAGGUUGAUGUUCUUGCUCAGUAUAAGCCAAUAAUGGAGAAACUGAUCAAGCUAUCUUUCAUGAUCAAUUACACACCAAGCCUAUAUUUAUGCUACUUCUACAUGUUGCUGUGAUGGUCAUUCGGCCCAUUUUCUUGAACCUGCACUACGAUGAGAGAUCUGGGCUGCUUCUUUGUGGCUUCCAAACUUAAAAUGUUUGUUUGAAAGUUAGUUUAGUUUUUUGUUGUGGACUCACAUCUUCUCACAUGUACCGUCCUCUUAGACCUUUAGAUUUCCAAAGAAACUAACAGAAGAUAUGGUGGUAUGGUCUCAAUAGUACAACUUAAAGCCUUCCAUGCUUUAUAUUUUCUCUGAAUUUUGCUCUUGAAGAAUCAUGUAUCUAUGUUAGAUCCAGUGAGUAAAGGCGUCUUCCAAGCAGAGGAUGUGGGAGUGUUAGCCA